GGGACAGGGAGGGCGCGGGGCCGGGCUGCUGGGUCCGAGCUCUGGGCACUAUGUCCUCCCUGACGCCGCCAGGACAGCGCCUGGCCCAGGCCUGGGCCUGGUGAACGCGGGUUUCUUCCUCUGAGGUUCAACACUCCGCACUUGGGUUGGCUCCUUUCAUCCUGAUUGGUUUAUUCGCCACGUGCCAAGCACUGAAGAGGGCGUGCAGGAUGGAUACUUUUGGAGCAAAAAUAGCCCUGCUUCUUUCCUGGGGAGGGAUCGCACUUUCUAGAGGGGCGGUUCUCAAAGUAUGGUCUCAGGACUAGCAGCAUCGAAAAUGCUGGGAACUCGUUAGAAAAGCAAGUUUUCAAUCCUCGCCCCAGAAUCAGAAACUCGGAGUGGAGCCCAGCAAUGUGUGUCCUGACAAGUCCACGCGCGACCCCAGUGCUGGCUGGGGUUGCAAAGCCACUGCUCUACGGAGCGAGCGAGAUCCAUCAUAGUGGGACAAGCGAGAGGAUGAGGCCAUGCAGACCAGGGAGAGAGGCUCCUUACACUGACAUUCAAAGUCCUCAAUGACCCGGCCCCAGCCUGCCUCUGCAGCCUUAUCUCCCUACCAACCAUCAAAGCAGAACAAAAAGCUGUGCCUCCGAUUUAGGUUUUAGCAAACCACAAGAAGCAUUUCAUAAACUUGUGACUCAAGUAGAAAAGUACUGUUCCACGCACUUGACACCAAUCCACCCAUUUCACCUGCAUGAUCACCCUGCCUUUGCAUGAGUUGCCGGUGUGGACAGAGCAGGGACACAGUGAGACAGCGGAUUCCAGCUUUGCUCUUACCUAGAACACACUGCCUCUCACCAGGAAUCGUCCUUCCAUUUUAUGCAGUUAUCCCAGACAAUGAUGCACAAGCUUUGGGAAAAAAACCUCACAAGUCCAAAGGUGUACUUCAUAAUAAAGCACCUGGUCUCACCGUUGUUCUACAGCACAGCAGGCCAGGCUGGAUUGGAGAGUCAUCUUCAAGGAGAAGAAGAAAGGGGUCCACAUUGCCAAGUGCUCUUGAGUGGCCAAGUGAGAGGGACUGAAGAGUGUUCACUGGAUUUGCCAACAAAUCGGUUGACCUUGGUGUGAGCAGUUUCAGGAUCUCCUGGGGGACUGAGAUGGAUGGGUGACGAGGAAGAGGAGAAAGUGCCCUGGACAGCACUUUUGAGGGUCCUGGCAGUGGCUCUAUCUUGCUCCCUUAUGGGUGUGCAGACCCACAGUGGGCCUGGAGAAAUGACCCUGGUCUUCCCUGCAGCUCUGGUGGAGGCUAGGUCAUUAAAGCCAGACCCCCAGUGCCACAGUUCAGAAGGCAGGAUGCUGGGGCAUGCAGCAUGGCAGAGCCAUGGUCACUUCACGAGGACCUCUGCUGGUGUCUCCUCUGCUGUCCUGGAGGUCCCAGAGGACAGGAGCUGUGUCCUGUGACCUGCUGACCGCAACACGUAGCACCCGGAAGGUGUUCACUAGAUAGUUCCUCAAAUGAGUCAAUGGACAGUGAAUGGGGAAUGGAGUGGACGGUGGACGGGAGGCGUUUAGCUCUGUUGCCCAGGCUGGAGUGCAAUGGCGCGAUCUCGGCUCACUACAACUUCCGCCUCCCAGGUUCAAGCGAUUCUCCAGCCUCAGCCUCCUGAGUAGCUGGGACUACAGGCACCCGCCACCGUGUCCGGCUAAUUUUUGUAUUUUUAGGAGAGACUGGGUUUCACCAUGUUGGCCAGGCUGGUCUUAAACUCCUGACCUCAGGUGAUCUGCCUGCCUUGGCCUCCCAAAGUGCUGGGAUUACAGGCGUGAGCCACCACGCCUGGACCACUCUCACACUUCUAACCCUGCCUGAUUUCAAACCUUCAGCCUGAUUUUAUGCAUAAUUGAGAUUUGUGUGUUUUGUUUGAGACAGGGUCUUGCUCUGUGGCCCAGGCUGGAGUGCAGUGGUGUGAUCUCGGCUCGCUGCAGCCUCAACCUCCGUGACUCAGGCGAUCGUCCUGCCUCAGCCUCCUAAGUAACUAGGGCCACAACAGGCAUGCCACCACAGGCAUGCCACCACACCUGGCUAAUUUUUGCAUUUUUUUGUAGAGACAGGGUCUAGCUAUGUUGUCCAGGCUGGUCUUGAACUCCUGAGCUCAAGUGAUCCUUUCACCUUGGCAAGUCCCAAAGGGCUGGGAUUACAGGAGUGACACCUCCCCCCACCCCCCACCACCAACCACAUCCGACUUCAAAUCCAGCUCCACCCCAGCCUUGGCUUCAUCAGAUCCAAAUUUAUUCCAAAUCCUGAUUCAGGCUCACAUUUUGAACCCAAUCUUCCCCAAACCCUAACCUAAGGUGUCCACCCCAACUCUAAUAAGGUCUUUUAGUGCAAAACCCGUUACUAACAGGAUGCUAAUUAGAGCACCUGGUAAACUUAUAGCAACAUACUUUCUUUCUUUCUUUUUCUUUUUUUUUUUUUGAGACAGAGUCUCUCUCUCUGUCACUGAGGCUGGAGUGCACUGGCCCCAUCUCGGCUCACUGCAAGCUCCACCUCCCGGGUUCUCCUGCCUCAGCCUCUGAAGUAGCUGGGACUACAGGCACCCGCCACUAUGCCCGGCUAAAUUUGUUUUGUAUUUUUUGGUAGAGACGGGGUUUCACUGUGUUGGCCAGGAUGGUCUUGAUCUCCUGACCUCGUGAUCCGCCCGCUUCAGGCUCUGGAAGUGCUGAGACUACAGGCGUGAGCCACCGUGCCUGGCCUAUAGCAACAAGCUUUCACCCAACCCCAAUGUGAACCAACUGCAAACCCAAACAUAAAUUGACAGACUCUCCAAAAUGCUGUUUGCAAAAAUAGACAAGAAAUGCAUGAAUACAUUGUGGGUGUAAAAAAUCCCAGUGAUACAACAAUGAAGGUGGUAAAAGCUGGACGUUCCCCUUUACGAGCCACCACGUCCUCCUCCAUGUAUGUAUUCUUCAACAGCAACUUGCUUGGCUUUUCUUACUGGCAAACCUUCAUGGAAUGGAAUCAUUUGCCCUUACUCUCCAGGGACUGGCUGCUUCUGCUCAGCGUUGUGAAAUCCAUCCACACGGAUGCAUGUGCCUGGGGCUGAUCCUUCAUUAUUGCUGCAUAGUAGGAUUGCAUUGUACCAAUACAGCAAAAUUUAUUUGUUCCUUUUACUGUUGAUGACAUUGACUUGUGUCCAGUUUUUUCCUUUUUAAAAACAAUGCUUCUAAAACCAA